ensembl:lncRNA
GUUUCUCCACGUGGGUUACGUGUGUACGCCACCAGCAGACCACCAGCGCCUUUUAUAAUCGCACUCUACAGAAGAGUAUGAGCCUGGCUCACCUGGAGAAAGAGACACAUCAGGACACUGAUUACUCAGCCACCUUUAACUGAACACUAUUGGCUCGGAUAAAUCAGAGGCAGUCCGGCACUCUUUGAAAUCUCAUGCCAUGUUAACAAAAGAUAAACAGGGUCAUCGUGCACUU